rnacentral:tRNA from 3 species
GGCCCCGUAGCUCAACUGGAUAGAGCACGGACCUUCUAAGUCUGGGGUUGAGGGUUCAAGUCCUUCCGGGGUCGCCA